GGCCCCUUAGUUAAAUGGAUAUAACAGCCCCCUCCUAAGGGGUAGUUGCAGGUUCGAUUCCUGCAGGGGCCGCCA
rnacentral:tRNA from 1 species